AGUGAACGCUGGCGGUAGGCCUAACACAUGCAAGUCGAACGGCAGCACAGUAAGAGCUUGCUCUUACGGGUGGCGAGUGGCGGACGGGGGAGGAAUACAUCGGAAUCUACUUUUUCGUGGGGGAUAACGUAGGGAAACCUACGCUAAUACCGCAUACGACCUACGGGUGAAAGCAGGGGAUCUUCGGACCUUGCGCGAUUGAAUGAGCCGAUGUCGGAUAAGCUAGUUGGCGGGGUAAAGGCCCACCAAGGCGACGAUCCGUAGCUGGUCUGAGAGGAUGAUCAGCCACACUGUAACUGAGACUCGGUCCAGACUCCUACAGGAGGCAGCAGUGGGGAAUAUUGGACGAUGGGCGCAAGCCUGAUCCAGCCAUACCGCGUGGGUGAAGAAGGCCUUCGGGUUGUAAAGCCCUUUUGUUGUGAAAGAAAAGCAGCAGGUUAAUACCCCGCUGUUCUGACGGUACCCAAAGAAUAAGCACCGGCUAACUUCGUG
rnacentral:rRNA from 1 species